rnacentral:rRNA from 1 species
UACGAAGGGGGCUAGCGUUGCUCGGAAUCACUGGGCGUAAAGCGCACGUAGGCGGAUCUUUAAGUCAGGGGUGAAAUCCCAAGGCUCAACCUUGGAACUGCCUUUGAUACUGGGGAUCUCGAGUCCGGAAGAGGUGAGUGGAACUGCGAGUGUAGAGGUGAAAUUCGUAGAUAUUCGCAAGAACACCAGUGGCGAAGGCGGCUCACUGGCCCGGAACUGACGCUGAGACGCGAAAGCGUGGGGAGCAAACAGG